GUUGUUGCAGUUAAAAAGCUCGUAGUUGAAGUUCUGGCUGUUCGAUCCUCGAGCUCUGUAGCCGAGGACUCGACAGUCAUCCGCUUGCAAAUAUAGUUCGUCUUUAACCGGAUGGCUAUAUGAGUAAGCAAUUUACCUUGAGAAAAACAGAGUGUUCCAGGCAGGUUUGUCCGGAAUGCAUUAGCAUGGAAUAAUAGAAUAUGACUGAAGUCGAUUUAUUGGUUUGAGGCUUUAGUAAUGAUUAAUAGGAACAGUCGGGGGCAUUGGUACUUGACAGUCAGAGGUGAAAUUCUAGGAUUUGUCAAAGACUAACAAAUGCGAAAGCAUUUGCCAAGGAUGUUUUCAUUAAUCAAGAACGAAAGUUAGGGGAUCAAAGACGAACAGAUACCGUCCUAGUCUUAACUAUAAACUAUACCGACUCGGAUUCAGAUGAAUCAUAAAGUUCAUUUGGGACCGUAGGAGAAAUCAAAGUUUUUGGGUUCUGGGGGAAGUAUGGUCGCAAGGCUGAAACUUAAAGGAAUUGACGGUUUUGCACCACCA
rnacentral:rRNA from 1 species